rnacentral:rRNA from 1 species
CCUACGGGCGGCUGCAGUGGGGAAUAUUGGACAAUGGGGGCAACCCUGAUCCAGCCAUGCCGCGUGUGUGAAGAAGGCCCUCGGGUUGUAAAGCACUUUCAGUGAGGAAGAACGCCUGGUGGUUAAUACCCAUCAGGAAAGACAUCACUCACAGAAGAAGCACCGGCUAACUCCGUGCCAGCAGCCGCGGUAAUACGGAGGGUGCGAGCGUUAAUCGGAAUUACUGGGCGUAAAGCGCGCGUAGGUGGCUUGAUAAGCCGGUUGUGAAAGCCCCGGGCUCAACCUGGGAACGGCAUCCGGAACUGUCAAGCUAGAGUGCAGGAGAGGAAGGUAGAAUUCCCGGUGUAGCGGUGAAAUGCGUAGAGAUCGGGAGGAAUACCAGUGGCGAAGGCGGCCUUCUGGACUGACACUGACACUGAGGUGCGAAAGCGUGGGUAGCAAACAGGAUUAGAUACCCUUGUAGAC